AGCAGCUAACGAGCUGUUUGUGCAAUGCUAAUGUUCUUAUUGUCAGAUGUUGUAGUGGGACUGAACCCAAACGCAGAACGUAAACGACACGGCAGUCAGAAAGCAGGUGAAAGUCUGAUUUAUUCGAUGACACAAGGGUAGGUGAGCGGCAGGAACGAGCGUGAGGAGUGCGGAUGGUGAGAGUGAAUUCCCAGGUGUACAAUAUCCCGUGAGAAUCCAGCGUGCAGGAAAAGACAGGUGCCGAAAGGAGGCAAAACGAGAGAUCUGGUGCAGGUGCGUGAUUACGAGGACAGUGACAGGUGCGUGCAAAGGCCAGCCUUCUCCUGGGUCCGGAGGAGGGAACUCUUAUAAUGAAUUUAAUAUUCAACUAGUUUGCUAGACAAUUUGCAGUUUCUAAUUUGUCAUGAGUUUCGCCAUAUCUUAACCCUUGAUAUUCUUGUCUCACACAUGACAACCUGCUGUAAAUGUUUCUCUUGAGGGUUUGACUGCAUAUGUGAAAAGGACAGAACACAGAAACAAAUACUACAAAAGAAUGUGCUUUGAGGCACUUUACCAUAAAGCAUCCAAACAUUCUAACCAUCCUGUUUAUGUCCAGUCUGAAAUGGUUCCAUGCAUCUUCAUAUGUCAGUGGCCUCACAAAUACAAAUGACCGUGCCACUGGUGCUGUUAUUUUUCAUGUCAUGUUUUCUUCCUUUCCUCAUCUUUGCCUUUUCUUCUCCUUCACACACUUUUAAAUUAUUUCCCUUCCACAUUUCACUGCAGCCAGCUAUCAGAUUAAAUGGGACGUGUUGAGGAGAAUGGGUGUGAUGUGUUGAGUGGGACAUCAGUGUGUGUGUGUGAGUGUGUGUGGUUGAACGCUUAAUCUGUGUGCAAGGGAUGUCCUCAUUCUCCUACAGAGCUGAUGAAAAUGUCAUUUUAUCAACAUUAUUUGACAGAAGAACUGAGUGAAUAUCAACACAUGCUGUCACAGCUCUCUGCUGAGUAGCUCUUGUAAGUGUGUGUUAACAGGGAGCAGGUAAGCCGUUGUGAAGGCUCUGCAGGUGUUAGAAGUCCUGUUGAUACACACAGCUUGGGCGAGUUGAAAUGUGUUUGGUCAAACGUUUCUCUUUGCGUUCUCAUUGUUCUCAGGGUUUAGCUUAGGUGUGCUGUGGUUUGAUUUUUAAAAUCCCAUAAAAGGCUUAUAUGUCAAACUCAAGGCAAUUAUCUUUGGCCCGCCGGUAUAUUAUAAAUAGCCGCUACACCUAAACAGCCAUGGAGGUCUCACUGUGUGAGCGAGCACCUGCCUCAGGAAAAUUUGAUAUUAAAACCGGACCAUCCACGCCUUUAAAGAAAUUAGUUCAAAGGACUAGUGACUUGUAAUCGUACUUUAAAUUAAUAGAAUUAAAUACAAACAAGUAUCAUUAACUUACCUAGGUUUAAGGCAUAAACUCUUAAUAACAACUGUGUCAUCUUUGACUGCACUCCGGCCAUCGGAACAAUGUAUGUCACUCUAGACAACACUUGACAUUCCAGCAGGCGUACACCGGCUUGUUCAUCAUUGACGUAGAACCACUUCUUAGGAAUAAAGAAAAUGUCAAAAUAAAAUCUGCAGGUCCUGACUGGGGAGGGUCAGACGGCGGCGCUGGGUCUGGGGCCCUGGGCUAGGCACAUUUACUCAGAUGUGAAGAGUUGCCAUCAUGGACCUGAUAGGGCUGUCCCCCGAAGACCACAAGAGAGCCUUCCGAGAGGCGAGGCGAGGCCCGGGGGACUGCCCGUUAAAAUUUGCCCAGCGUCUGAAGGAUGCGGCAAACAUGUGGCUGCAGCCGGGGAGCGUGGGUGGAGCGCCGACGGUGGUGGAG
ensembl:lncRNA